AAAGCAAAGAAUAUGGAGUAAUUGCCUUACACAAAGCCCCCGAGUGCAAGCAGUCCAGCUGGCGUUCAGAGACUGGGGCACCUUGGGGUGCUGCCUCGGGGAGGGGUGUCAGGGGGCUGCUGGGCCACUGCCCAGCAGCCAGAGGUUGAGCUACAGUCAGAGUUGCCAGCUGCCCUUAAUAUGGAGGUUAAUCAAUUAAUAAUUAAUAAAAGUCAAUUAAUAAUUGAGUAAUUAAUUCACCUGGAGGGGGCUGCCCUCUGCUACAGGGUGGGGAGGGAUCGCAGCUCGCACCGCAGUGCAGGCAGACAUGGUACAAGUCCGUCAUCCCCCAGCACAGGGCAGGGUGGCUUGUAUAGGAACCUGGGAUUUUUGUGGUUGCAGUUAGACAUAAUUGCUGUUUCCACUUGCAAAGCAACGAGUCUUGUGUGCUGAGUAGAUGUUUUGUGCUGCUCACCGGCGCUCCGAUCGUGAUGCAAAUCUCCCUGGCUCCUGGGUUGCAAGGAAGAAAAGAUUUCUUUGUUUUGAACUGAAUGGUUUCCCAUGAAUGGGAAACCCAGACAGCGUGGUGCUCCAGAUUACUUUAAUGUGUUUUUCCUGGAACGAGGAUGCACCAGCAGUUCAUACUCUGCAGGUAUGGCUGCAACACCUGAUGGGGUGAUAACUGCAAUCAGCAUCUUCCUGGUGUUUCAGCUGCAAGAGUUACAGGUGUGCCUGCUGUGGGGAGCAGUUGGGCUCUCUGCUCUUGCCCCUCCGUCUUUCAUCAGCACCAUCCUAGACCCAGUGUCACCCGGUGAGUUGGUGGCUGUCUGGUUGAGAAGACAUGAGUAGCUACAUGGAUACCGACUGUAUUUCCAGUGGAGUCCUGGCUCCUGCCAGUAGGAGCAGUGUUCUUUUUCUCAUAUUUGCAUGACUGCUGAAGAGCCACAGUCCAUCUUUAUCCAUCUUCAUCCUUUACCAGGCAAAUCAGGCUGACAAGAAGCUCUGCGCUGGCCCGGUGAGGCUGGCAUGUGGCAAACUGCCCAAGCUCCCCAUGGAAAGCCUGCUAUUGCUUCUGAGCAUCAGCCCAGGUGCACCUUCCCUUUGGCCACGUCACAUUUCUCAUUGCUCUGGGACCUGCUGAGAACCAACAAGAGCAGGUUCAGAGCGCUCCUGCGUUAUCAGGGUCUGUGCCCAACAGAAGCCCUGCUGGAGCACUUAGUAGGGCACCUUCAUUGUCAUCCUACCCUCUGUGUUUAGAGCGCUUCAGGGGCGAUAUUACCACCUUGGAAUUACCCCUGCUUCUCGAAGAACUGCGGAAAGCCUUGCUUGGUGCUCUGAGCCUGCAGUGGCAGAGGUUGCUGCCCACCUCCUGCAGCAGAGAAACA
rnacentral:lncRNA from 1 species